rnacentral:rRNA from 1 species
AACGCGAAGAACCUUACCUACCUUUGAAUCCACGGAAUCUUACAGAGAUGUAGGAGUGCCUUCGGGAACCGUGAGACAGGUGCUGCAUGGCUGUCGUCAGCUCGUGUCGUGAGAUGUUGGGUUAAGUCCCGUAACGAGCGCAACCCUUGUCCUUAGUUACCAGCGAGUAAAGUCGGGUACUUUAAGGAGACUGCCGGUGAUAAACCGGAGGAAGGUGGGGAUGACGUCAAGUCCUCAUGGCCCUUACAGGUAGGGCUACACACGUGCUACAAUGGCCGGUACAGAGGGUUGCCAACCCGCGAGGGGGAGCUAAUCCCAAAAAGCCGGUCGUAGUCCGGAUUGGAGUCUGCAACUCGACUCCAUGAAGUUGGAAUCGCUAGUAAUCGCGGAUCAGAACGCCGCGGUGAAUACGUUCCCGGGCCUUGUA